rnacentral:rRNA from 1 species
GACGGAGGAGGCAAGCGUUAUCCGGAAUUAUUGGGCGUAAAGGGUGUGUAGGUGGCGAUGUUAGUCUUCUGUCAAAUUCUUCGGCUUAACCGGGGGUCUGCAGGGGAAACGGCAUUGCUCGAGUGUGCAAGGGGUGAAUGGAACUCAUGGAGUAGGGGUGAAAUCCGUUGAUAUCAUGGGGAACACCAAAAGCGAAGGCAAUUCACUGGUGCAUUACUGACACUGAAACACGAAAGCGUGGGUAGCGAACGGG